CACCAUCUUAUUCAAAUUGUUUUGUUAAAAUUGUUUCUGAGAGAAAUGUUCCUCAUUUAUGUCUUUUUUCAACAAAAGAUAUUCCAAAGUUUACAGAAUUACGAUAUAGCUAUGGGGAAACAUCUGGAUUAUCUUGGCGAAAGCAGUCUAUUUACAAAAGACCAUUAAUAUUGACAAAUAUGGAUGUAUGUAAAGUUUUUACUCUUUUUUCUUUUUGAAAAUUUAUGUUAACUAAUAUAAGUUUGUUAACUUUACUAAAAUGAAAAUAAUUUUCUAGAAUUUUGUAAGAACUUUAGACACAGAAAAUCGUAUUUCAGUUUAGAAAUUUCUUUUAUA